CGCUAGUUGCGAGAUAUAUCCAUAAUUACGACGUAUGUACGGCGCUUUUGUCAACUGCGAUAUACGAGACUCCUAUGAUAGCGACGCCCUCUCAGUUCAAAAUCCCACUUCACUCUCCACUCUACGACCUUCUCAAAUUGAAGAAUUUGGCAAAGCAGUUUUAUUUCGACCUUUAGUGAAACUCUCAGUGUUUGCUCCCUAAUGUGGAAUCUCUCUUGAGGAAUGAGAAGUCAGUUGCUGAUCGCGUGGCGUCCCAUCGAAAUGCCUUCAAAAUUUGCGCUCUCUUCCUUAAUUCAUAUUUUGCUCAUUCAGGAGUAUAGUUCUAGUUCUAACAACAAUGCCAAAGUGGAAUUGGAAGGUACAAAGGGCACUGAAUUUGACUGCUAAUUCAUUGGAUAUCAACCUCUGGUUGCUUUUUGGAUCACCAGAUCCAGAUGAAAAUUACCUGUCUUUUAUUAUUAGAGUUCGACAGAGCUCCAAGAUGAUUCAUCCAAGGGUAUGUUAGGGUCAAUGUCAUCUCUUACCCUUGCUGUUGAAGAAGAUGAGG